GUCCGAAAAGAGAAGUUGGAAAAUUAGGGUUUGGAAAACUGUGGGUUCAAACAUUUUUUGAGAGAGAAAAGAAGAAGGGAAAAACUUAUAACCAAAGAUUCAAUCUUUGUUUUUAGUGGAAAUUUUGUUUCCGAAUAUUGGUCUGCGUAACCGAAGUUCCGAAGCUGACUACGACGCUUCUCCGGUGGUGGUGAAAUUCGACGUCAACUCGUAGUUCUGUUUUGCCGCUCCAAAAAAGAUUCCAAAGGGUAUCAUUGGAAUUCAUCUCACCUUUCGGGAUUUCCCUUGACCUUUAAUCUACUUUUGGCUAUACAUUUUCCACGGGAGGUGAGAUAUUCAAUUAUUGGAAUAAUUGCUUCUUCCUUUGAGCUGCUAUAUAAAUGUUCUUCUUUUGAUACUUUUGUUUAAACGUUUCCUUGCUAAAGUUUCCCCACCUGGACCCUUUAGCAUCUAGUUUAAAUGUUAAUAGUAAUCUACCAUCCCGUCCAACGGAUUCACUUAAAGCAUGGCGAAGAAUGAUUAAUCUGCUAAAUGUGAAAAGCUUUGCCUAGGAUUUUGUCUCACAAUAUGCUAGCAAAUAGUGUAAGAUCAUCUUAUUUUAGAAAGUAUGCAUGCCUACAAGCGGAUCGUCUUUUUUUAUAUUUAUUUAUUCAAAUUUUCCUUAUUUUGGAUUUAUUGAUUCAUCUCCUGUAUCUUGUUUUACAUUAAUAGUAUUCCUUCUGCACUUAUUUCUGUAUUUCGUUUAGCAUCAAAAAUAUUUUUUGUGCAUUUACUUCGUUACAUUUUGCUUAGCAUCAAUAUUUGUUUAACAUUAAUAUUGUAUCUUAUACAGUGUAACAUUAGUGGUAGUUCCUUCAAUUUGCUUUCGUAUUUAUCUUCAUUUCACAUGGAUUAAUUUCCUUUUUCUUUGCUUUGCAUGUGGAUAAAUUUGAGUCUUAAAUAAACUCUUCCCGCUUUUGCAUUAUCGAUAUGGGCCACUAAGGCCCAUCCUUCUCGAGUCAAUUUCGAAGCCCCAAAAAGGACAGUCACCUUACAUAUGGACACAAAAGAAGAGGACGAAAGAGGAAGAAAUAGGUUAAAAUCCAUCUUUGAAGCAGCUAAGAGACUCAAAAGUCUCAUUUGUUAUUUUACUUAAUUAUUGUUGUCUUUAUUUAUUUUAUUUCAUUAUUUAUUCAUUCAUUUAUUUGGGGGCUUUGAAGCCAAAGUUGUAAAUUUAAUACAGGUGGGGCAAGACUCGAGCUAAAGGCUCAGAAAACUAGACUAGAACAGGUUUUGUUGGUUUGGGCCAAUGGCCUAAAUCUUUUGCUUCCUCCCCUUCCCCCUAUUCCUUAUGUUUUUAUUUUUUUAUUUGUUA